rnacentral:piRNA from 1 species
CCUUCUUCUGUCCCACUCCUGUGCCU